UUAGCUUCUCUUAAAAUCAUUGUGUAUGUACGUAUCUCUGUUUCACUGUACAAUACAAUAGACAGCAUGUACUUAUGGUACGUAAGUAGAUACUUGUAGUACAUUACGUAGGUACUUUUAUGGAUACUUUGGUUUAAUCUUUAACGUUAUGAUGAGACAUGAAAGAUCAAAUAUCUACAAGACAACCAACAGCUUAUAUUUAUGUUGAUGAACCUCAUCUAGAAUAUCAUAUAAAAUGGCUGAUCUCUCCAAGAUUUGGUAGUAAAGUAGUAAAAGGAAACAAAAAAGAAAUGAUUCAAGGUAGUGGAGGAGGCCAUCAGUACGUGUACUUGUUUCAUCAGUCCAUUUCCAAGGAUUUUCACUUAUCUCUGUAAAUGCUUUCACUAGUUUAUCAUAAUUAUUAAAAAUAGCAGACACA